rnacentral:tRNA from 1 species
GCUGUUAUAGCUCAGUAGGCAGAGCACAUCCUUGGUAAGGAUGAGGUCGCGCGUUCGAAUCGCGCUAACAGCUCCA